rnacentral:tRNA from 2 species
GGGCCCGUAGCUCAGCAUGGAUAGAGCAACCUCAUUAUCUUUAAUGAGGCUCGAGCCGGCCUUCUAAGCCGGGGGCCGUGGGUUCGAAUCCCACCGGGCCCGCCA